UGGUAAAAAGUGUAGGUCACGUCUAGUUUCGGCCUAGAAGGAGAAAUAAUUAUUUCUUUACCAG
rnacentral:tRNA from 1 species